rnacentral:rRNA from 1 species
AUGAACGCUAGCGACAGGCCUAACACAUGCAAGUCGAGGGGCAGCACAAGGAGCAAUCUGAGGUGGCGACCGGCGCACGGGUGAGUAACACGUAUGCAACCUGCCUGUAAGCGGGGAAUAACCCGUUGAAAGACGGACUAAUACCGCAUAAUACUAAAUUACUGCAUGGUAAUUUAUUUAAACAUUUAUGGCUUACAGAUGGGCAUGCGCAUGAUUAGCUAGUUGGAGAGGUAACGGCUCCCCAAGGCAACGAUCAUUAGGGGUUCUGAGAGGAAGGUCCCCCACACUGGUACUGAGACACGGACCAGACUCCUACGGGAGGCAGCAGUGAGGAAUAUUGGUCAAUGGACGAGAGUCUGAACCAGCCAAGUCGCGUGCAGGAAGAAUGUUCCCUAUGGAUUGUAAACUGCUUUUGCAGGGGAAUAAAGUGCAUCACGCGUGAUGUUUUGUAUGUACUCUGCGAAUAAGGAUCGGCUAACUCCGUGCCAGCCGCCGC